GAUUAACGCUGGCGGCGUGCAUAACACAUGCCAGUCGAACGAUGAAACUUUAAUGAACCCUUCGGGGAGAAUUAAAGCGGAUUAGUGGCGAACGGGUGAGUAACGCGUGAGUAACCUGCCUUACACAAGGGGAUAGCCUUUGGAAACGAAGAAUAAUACCCUAUAAAACCAUAAAAGCACAUGCAAUUAUGGUCAAAGUGAUAGCGGUGUAAGAUGGACUUGCGUCUGAUUAGCUAGUUGGUGAGAUAAAAGCCCACCAAGGCAACGAUCAGUAGCCGGCUGGAGAGAGUGUACGGCCACAUUGGGACUGAGACACGGCCCAGACUCCUACGAGAGGCAGCAGUGGGGAAUUUUGCACAAUGGGGGAAACCCUGAUGCAGCGACGCCGCGUGAUUGAGAAGGCCUUCGGGUUGUAAAAAUCUUUUGUAUAGGAAGAAAAUGACAGUACUAUACGAAUAAGGUCCGGCUAAUUACGUG
rnacentral:rRNA from 1 species